AGAAGGUGAUCUCCGCCCGUGCUCAGAAUCCAGGGGCCCGGGGCUGUAGGUAGGAGUUAAGUGGGUAGGAUCCCUUAACCAGGGUUGUCCGGUGCAGGUGGUGUGUGUUGUUUCGCCUAACGUGUCAGUGGCACAAAUCACGCGAACUUCAUAAACAUUGUGCGUUCGGAAGCCUUUCCAAGAUGCAUUUAAUCCCUGCGUGAGCCCACGUUAGGCAUUCACGAAGGCAUGUGCACUGUUCUCUCGGAAGCGGCUGGCCGGCUUCCCCUCCUCGCGCGCGGCUGUGGGUGCAGGUCCUCACUUCCCAGCCUCCCAUGGGCCCAAGGCCUUCUGGGCUCCAAUUUGAGGCGAGCCACCCCAGAUCCGUAAUUUUUCUGCAGUGAUUUAUUUUUACCUUUCUGAGAUCCGGAAAAUGAGGCCCAUAGGAAACAAGUGACUUGCUGAGUCCAGAUAACACUGACUGUCAGAGAGAAACAUGAACCAGAAGCUACUGAAGUUGGAGAACUUGCUACGAUUUCACACUAUUUAUAGGCAACUGCACAGUCUGUGUCAAAGAAGAGCAUUAAGACAGUGGAGGCAUGGGUUUUCAUCUGCUUACCCUGUGUGGACAGCUCAACUGUGUGCCUGGCCCUGGCCAACAGAUGUGCUCACUGGGGCUGCUUUAUCUCAGUAUAGGCUUCUAGUAACAAAAAAGGAAGAAGGACCAUGGAAAUCUCAGUUAUCUUCAACAAAAUCUAAAAAGGUGGUAGAAGUAUGGAUUGGAAUGACUAUUGAGGAACUGGCCAGGGCAAUGGAAAAAAACACAGAUUAUGUAUAUGAAGCUUUAUUGAACACUGAUAUUGACAUAGAUUCACUGGAAGCAGAC
rnacentral:lncRNA from 1 species